GCAAAGUCAACAGAAGAUGCUUUAAAAAGUUUUGCUUAACCAACUUCUUAAUCCACGGAUCUAUUUUAAACAACUCUUUGAUUCAACCAUUGGUUGGUUCAUUAUCUGGUAUUUGGGAUUCAAACAAUACAGGAGUUGAGUGUGCAAUAAGAACUCGAGUUGUGGACGUGAAUUUAACACCAGGAUUCUUAGUCUAUCCCGCUGCUAUAGAAGUUAAAGAAUGCAGUGGUAAAAAUUUCAGAUUACCAUUUAAGAAAUGCAUUCCAACAGAAUUAGAAAACACAAUUCAUACUGUUUGGGAUAUUAAUUAUGAUACAAAUUCAACCAAAGCAAGAAAUAUUAGUAUAGAAGAACCAAAGGGCUGUAAAUUGGGUUGCAUUAUAGAUUCUUCUUACUGUUCUCCUGCUCAUGUUUUUGAUAAAGAAAGUUGUGUUUGUACUUGUUCUUCAAAUGUUCAAAAAUGUACCGUUGAUAAACAGUGGUCUGCUAUAAGUUGUGCAUGUGAGUGCUCCAAUACAGAAUCGCCCGAGUGUCGUGUAUCAGAAAAACCGAGUCCCAUUUCACGCAAAUGUAGUUGAACAAUCGAUAAAUAAUAAUAUAAAAUU
rnacentral:lncRNA from 1 species